rnacentral:rRNA from 1 species
CAGCCGCCGCGGGAAUACGUAGGGUGCGAGCGUUAAUCGGAAUUACUGGGCGUAAAGCGUGCGCAGGCGGUUUUGUAAGACAGGCGUGAAAUCCCCGGGCUCAACCUGGGAAUGGCGCUUGUGACUGCAAAGCUAGAGUGCGGCAGAGGGGGAUGGAAUUCCGCGUGUAGCAGUGAAAUGCGUAGAUAUGCGGAGGAACACCGAUGGCGAAGGCAAUCCCCUGGGCCUGCACUGACGCUCAUGCACGAAAGCGUGGGGAGCAAACAGGAUUAGAUACCCGGGUAGUCCCUGUCUCUUAUAC